rnacentral:rRNA from 1 species
GUGUCAGCCGCCGCGGUAAGACGGAGGGUGCAAGCGUUGCUCGGAAUUAUUGGGCGUAAAGGGUGCGUAGGCGGCUCCUCAAGUCUGGCGUGAAAGCCCAGGGCUCAGCCUUGGAAGUGCGCUAGAAACUGAGGGGCUUGAGUACCGGAGGGGAGAGUGGAAUUCCUGGUGUAGCGGUGAAAUGCGUAGAUAUCAGGAGGAAUACCGGUGGCGAAAGCGACUCUCUGGACGGUAACUGACGCUGAGGCACGAAAGCGUGGGUAGCAAACAGGAUUAGAUACCCCCGUAGUCC